CCACGGGGGGCUGCAGUGGGGAAUAUUGGACAAUGGGCGAAAGCCUGAUCCAGCCAUGCCGCGUGUGUGAAGAAGGCCUUCGGGUUGUAAAGCACUUUCAGUGGGGAAGAAAGCCUUGGGGCUAAUACCCUCGAGGAAGGACAUCACCCACAGAAGAAGCACCGGCUAACUCCGUGCCAGCAGCCGCGGUAAUACGGAGGGUGCGAGCGUUAAUCGGAAUUACUGGGCGUAAAGCGCGCGUAGGCGGUCUGAUAAGCCGGUUGUGAAAGCCCCGGGCUCAACCUGGGAACGGCAUCCGGAACUGUCAGGCUAGAGUGCAGGAGAGGAAGGUAGAAUUCCCGGUGUAGCGGUGAAAUGCGUAGAGAUCGGGAGGAAUACCAGUGGCGAAGGCGGCCUUCUGGACUGACACUGACGCUGAGGUGCGAAAGCGUGGGUAGCAAACAGGAUUAGAUACCCUGGUAGUC
rnacentral:rRNA from 1 species